GGGCCUGUAGCUCAGUCGGUAGAGCGUCGGACUUUUAAUCCGCUGGUCGUGGGUUCGAGCCCCACCGGGCCCACCA
rnacentral:tRNA from 2 species